AAAGUCCUUACCCAUUCUUUUCAUUCCUACCAAACUAAAAGCAAGAGAAGAGAGAAAGGAGAAGAAGAAGAAGAAGGGAAGAGCAAGGGAAGAGGAAGAAAAGGGGAGCAAAGGGAGCAUCUACCCAUUUAAGGAGUAGAACCAAGAGGUGACGAGACACAAUGUGAGGCCAUCAGUUAUCCAUCAUCACCUAGGACUUGAGAUGUUGAUUCAGGUAACAUUUCGAACACUGUGAUUGAGGAUCCAACUCUCUAUGGAGGUGACCUUUGGGAUGAGGAGUUAGUUGCGCACGAGAAUGGAUGCGUGUGUGAUGACUGUGCUUUUGGAGCACGUUGAAGAUGGGAGUAUCAUAUUCUCUUUUUGAUUUUUUUUUUGUAUAUACAGAUGUAGCCCUAUAGGGGCAUAACUGUAAUUAUGAUCCAAAUGUGAAAACAUUUUUUUGUGUAAAUAUGGUAAAUAUCAAUAGAAAUGAU